UAGCUUAGUGGUAAAGUGCUUAUCUGGCACGAAAGAGGCUCUAGGUUCAAUUCCCAG
rnacentral:tRNA from 1 species